AUUUUAUAAAAGUAAGAUAUAAGGUAUGAUGACUGGGUUUUCUUGCCACUGUGGGAGACACUCCUCCUUUGAACCUUGUUAAAACAUCAGCACACUGCCUAUUUGAUG
ensembl:snoRNA